rnacentral:rRNA from 1 species
AGUGAACGCUGGCGGUAGGCCUAACACAUGCAAGUCGAACGGCAGCACAGGAGAGCUUGCUCUCUGGGUGGCGAGUGGCGGACGGGUGAGGAAUACAUCGGAAUCUGCCCAGUCGUGGGGGAUAACGUAGGGAAACUUACGCUAAUACCGCAUACGACCUUCGGGUGAAAGAGGGGGAUCGCAAGACCUCUCGCGAUUGGAUGAGCCGAUGUCGGAUUAGCUAGUUGGCGGGGUAAUGGCCCACCAAGGCGACGAUCCGUAGCUGGUCUGAGAGGAUGAUCAGUCACACUGGAACUGAGACACGGUCCAGACUCCUACGGGAGGCAGCAGUGGGGAAUAUUGGACAAUGGGCGCAAGCCUGAUCCAGCCAUACCGCGUGGGUGAAGAAGGCCUUCGGGUUGUAAAGCCCUUUUGUUGGGAAAGAAAUCUUUCAGGCUAAUACCCUGGGAGGAUGACGGUACCCAAAGAAUAAGCACCGGCUAACUUCGUG